rnacentral:tRNA from 1 species
GGAUUGUGGCUCAGCGGUAGAGUGCUCGCCUAGCAUGGGCGGGACUGGGGUUUGAUCCUCAGCACCA